rnacentral:rRNA from 1 species
UGGGGAAUAUUGCGCAAUGGGGGGAACCCUGACGCAGCCAUGCCGCGUGAAUGAAGAAGGCCUUCGGGUUGUAAAGUUCUUUCGGUAUUGAGGAAGGUUGAUGUGUUAAUAGUACAUCAAAUUGACGUUAAAUACAGAAGAAGCACCGGCUAACUCCGUGCCAGCAGCCGCGGUAAUACGGAGGGUGCGAGCGUUAAUCGGAAUAACUGGGCGUAAAGGGCACGCAGGCGGUUAUUUAAGUGAGGUGUGAAAGCCCUGGGCUUAACCUAGGAAUUGCAUUUCAGACUGGGUAACUAGAGUACUUUAGGGAGGGGUAGAAUUCCACGUGUAGCGGUGAAAUGCGUAGAGAUGUGGAGGAAUACCGAAGGCGAAGGCAGCCCCUUGGGAAUGUACUGACGCUCAUGUGCGAAGGCGUGGGGAGCAAACAGGAUUAGAUACCCUGGUAGUCCACGCUGUAAACGCUGUCGAUUUGGGGGUUGGGGUUUAACUCUGGCGCCCGUAGCUAACGUGAUAAAUCGACCGCCUGGGGAGUACGGCCGCAAGGUUA